AGAGUUUGAUCAUGGCUCAGAUUGAACGCUGGCGGCAGGCCUAACACAUGCAAGUCGAGCGGUAGCACAGAGAGCUUGCUCUCGGGUGACGAGCGGCGGACGGGUGAGUAAUGUCUGGGAAACUGCCUGAUGGAGGGGGAUAACUACUGGAAACGGUAGCUAAUACCGCAUAACGUCGCAAGACCAAAGUGGGGGACCUUCGGGCCUCAUGCCAUCAGAUGUGCCCAGAUGGGAUUAGCUAGUAGGUGGGGUAAUGGCUCACCUAGGCGACGAUCCCUAGCUGGUCUGAGAGGAUGACCAGCCACACUGGAACUGAGACACGGUCCAGACUCCUACGGGAGGCAGCAGUGGGGAAUAUUGCACAAUGGGCGCAAGCCUGAUGCAGCCAUGCCGCGUGUGUGAAGAAGGCCUUCGGGUUGUAAAGCACUUUCAGCGGGGAGGAAGGCGGUGAGGUUAAUAACCUCACCGAUUGACGUUACCCGCAGAAGAAGCACCGGCUAACUCCGUGCCAGCAGCCGCGGUAAUACGGAGGGUGCAAGCGUUAAUCGGAAUUACUGGGCGUAAAGCGCACGCAGGCGGUCUGUCAAGUCGGAUGUGAAAUCCCCGGGCUCAACCUGGGAACUGCAUUCGAAACUGGCAGGCUAGAGUCUUGUAGAGGGGGGUAGAAUUCCAAGUGUAGCGGUGAAAUGCGUAGAGAUCUGGAGGAAUACCGGUGGCGAAGGCGGCCCCCUGGACAAAGACUGACGCUCAGGUGCGAAAGCGUGGGGAGCAAACAGGAUUAGAUACCCUGGUAGUCCACGCCGUAAACGAUGUCGAUUUGGAGGUUGUGCCCUUGAGGCGUGGCUUCCGGAGCUAACGCGUUAAAUCGACCGCCUGGGGAGUACGGCCGCAAGGUUAAAACUCAAAUGAAUUGACGGGGGCCCGCACAAGCGGUGGAGCAUGUGGUUUAAUUCGAUGCAACGCGAAGAACCUUACCUGGUCUUGACAUCCACAGAACUUUCCAGAGAUGGAUUGGUGCCUUCGGGAACUGUGAGACAGGUGCUGCAUGGCUGUCGUCAGCUCGUGUUGUGAAAUGUUGGGUUAAGUCCCGCAACGAGCGCAACCCUUAUCCUUUGUUGCCAGCGGUUAGGCCGGGAACUCAAAGGAGACUGCCAGUGAUAAACUGGAGGAAGGUGGGGAUGACGUCAAGUCAUCAUGGCCCUUACGACCAGGGCUACACACGUGCUACAAUGGCAUAUACAAAGAGAAGCGACCUCGCGAGAGCAAGCGGACCUCAUAAAGUAUGUCGUAGUCCGGAUUGGAGUCUGCAACUCGACUCCAUGAAGUCGGAAUCGCUAGUAAUCGUAGAUCAGAAUGCUACGGUGAAUACGUUCCCGGGCCUUGUACACACCGCCCGUCACACCAUGGGAGUGGGUUGCAAAAGAAGUAGGUAGCUUAACCUUCGGGAGGGCGCUUACCACUUUGUGAUUCAUGACUGGGGUGAAGUCGUAACAAGGUAACCGUAGGGGAACCUGCGGUUG
rnacentral:rRNA from 1 species